GACGAACGCUGGCGGCGUGCUUAACACAUGCAAGUCGAACGAUGAAGCGGGUGCUUGCACUCGUGGAUUGGUGGCGAACGGGCGAGUAACACGUGAGUAACCUGUCCUUUUCUUUGGGAUAACGGCUGGAAACGGCUGCUAAUACUGGAUAUUCAGGCUGCAUCGCAUGGUGUGGUUUGGAAAGGUUUUUUCUGGGAUUGGGUGGGCUCGCGGCCUAUCAGCUUGUUGGUGGGGUGAUGGCUUACCAAGGCUUUGACGGGUAGCCGGCCUGAGAGGGUGGUCGGUCGCACUGGGACUGAGAUACGGCCCAGACUCCUACGGGAGGCAGCAGUGGGGAAUAUUGCACAAUGGACGAAAGUUUGAUGCAGCGACGCCGCGUGGAGGGUGUAGGCCUUCGGGUUGUGAACUCCUUUUUCUCGCGAAAAAGGCACAGUUUUGGCUGUGUUGAUGGUAGUGGGGGAAGAAGCGCCGGCUAACUACGUG
rnacentral:rRNA from 1 species